rnacentral:rRNA from 1 species
UACGUAGGGGGCGAGCGUUGUCCGGAAUCAUUGGGCGUAAAGCGCGUGUAGGCGGCUCGAUAAGUCUGCUGUGAAAGUCCAGGGCUCAACCCUGGAAGGCCGGUGGAAACUGUCGGGCUAGAGUCCGGAAGAGGCGAGUGGAAUUCCCGGUGUAGCGGUGAAAUGCGCAGAUAUCGGGAGGAACACCAAUGGCGAAGGCAGCUCGCUGGGACGGUACUGACGCUGAGACGCGAAAGCGUGGGGAGCAAACAGG